GAUGAACGCUGGCGGCGUGCCUAAUACAUGCCAGUCGAGCGAACAGAUGAGGAGCUUGCUCCUCUGACGUUAGCGGCGGACGGGUGAGUAACACGUGGAUAACCUACCUAUAAGACUGGGAUAACUUCGGGAAACCGGAGCUAAUACCGGAUAAUAUAUUGAACCGCAUGGUUCAAUAGUGAAAGACGGUUUUGCUGUCACUUAUAGAUGGAUCCGCGCCGCAUUAGCUAGUUGGUAAGGUAACGGCUUACCAAGGCAACGAUGCGUAGCCGACCUGAGAGGGUGAUCGGCCACACUGGAACUGAGACACGGUCCAGACUCCUACGGGAGGCAGCAGUAGGGAAUCUUCCGCAAUGGGCGAAAGCCUGACGGAGCAACGCCGCGUGAGUGAUGAAGGUCUUCGGAUCGUAAAACUCUGUUAUUGGGGAAGAACAAAUGUGUAAGUAACUAUGCACGUCUUGACGGUACCUAAUCAGAAAGCCACGGCUAACUACGUG
rnacentral:rRNA from 1 species